UUAAGCAUAUCAAUAAGCGGAGGAAAAGAAACCAACAGGGAUUACCUCAGUAACGGCGAGUGAAGCGGUAACAGCUCAAAUUUGAAAGCUAGCUCUUCUAGGGUUCGCAUUGUAAUUUGUAGAAGAUGCUUCGGGUGUGGCCCCGGUCUAAGUUCCUUGGAACAGGACGUCAUAGAGGGUGAGAAUCCCGUAUGUGACUGGGUGCUUUCGCUCAUGUGAAGCUCUUUCGACGAGUCGAGUUGUUUGGGAAUGCAGCUCAAAAUGGGUGGUAAAUUUCAUCUAAAGCUAAAUAUUGGCCAGAGACCGAUAGCGCACAAGUAGAGUGAUCGAAAGAUGAAAAGCACUUUGGAAAGAGAGUUAAACAGUACGUGAAAUUGUUGAAAGGGAAGCGCUUGCAACCAGACUUGCGCGCUGAUGAUCAUCCGGGCUUCUGCCCGGUGCACUCGUCUGCGCUCAGGCCAGCAUCGGUUUCGGUGGUGGGAUAAAGGCCUUGGGAAUGUAGCUUCUUUCGGGGAGUGUUAUAGCCCUCGGUGCAAUGCCGCCUACCGGGACCGAGGACCGCGCUUCGGCUAGGAUGCUGGCGUAAUGGUUGUAAGCGACCCGUCUUGAAACACGGACCAAGGAGUCUAACAUCUAUGCGAGUGUUUGGGUGUCAAACCCAUACGCGUAAUGAAAGUGAACGGAGGUGAGAACCCUUAAGGGUGCAUCAUCGACCGAUCCUGAUGUCUUCGGAUGGAUUUGAGUAAGAGCAUAGCUGUUGGGACCCGAAAGAUGGUGAACUAUGCGUGAAUAGGGUGAAGCCAGAGGAAACUCUGGUGGAGGCUCGCAGCGGUUCUGACGUGCAAAUCGAUCGUCAAAUUUGCGUAUAGGGGCGAAAGACUAAUCGAACCAUCUA
rnacentral:rRNA from 1 species